rnacentral:lncRNA from 1 species
GAAAGUAGAGUCAGUUUCACUGUGGAAGGACUUUGACAUGAACCAAAUGAUACACACCAAGAAAAAAAGAAGGAUCACCAGAAUAAGUCAGGAUGCUGUUUCCAGAAAACUAGGGAGAGAGUAAGGGAUGUUCAAUUGUUCAGAAAACAGAAACACCGCAAGAAAGGAAAGAGGAAACCAAGGACCUCCAUGAAGUGAAUCAAUGCCUCCAAAUAUACU